GAGCAGUUUGAAAAGUCGGCGGCAGGGAGAGCGUUCAAGGCGCAGAUUGCAGCUGCCAAACAAUCAAAUUCCCCUUCCAAAGGGGAGCCGGUUCUCAAGUGGCAGAUAGGUUGAUGCGGGACUUCUAUUAACCGAUGGAUAAGCUCGCUUCUGUUGGAGAAUGGAGUGCAGUAGCUGGGAUAGUAUAAUGAGCUCUGUAUACAAGUUUGAAGAGAUUAUAUAUAUAGCUUGUUAAAUAGUAUAUUACAAUGUAUCUGUAUGUAUGCUUUUGAUGUCUGUUAAGUUCAUGAAUUACUAAACUA